rnacentral:lncRNA from 1 species
AAAAAAAUUCGAUCAUGGAUUAAAAAAAAAAAAUCACAAAUUUUCAAAAAAUUCAAUCAUGGAUUACAUAAAAUUCGAUCAUGGAUUACAUAAAAUUCGAUCAUGGAUUACAUAAAAUUUGAUCAUGGAUUACAUAAAAUUCGAUCAUGGAUUACAAAAAAAAACAAACAAAAAAAAACAAAAAAUUCAAUCGUGGAUUACAAAAAAAGAAAAAAACAGUUCGAUCAUGGAUUACAAAAAAUUCAAUCAUGGAUUACAAAAAACUCUAUCAUGGGUUACAAAAAAAGCAAAAAACAAAAAAUUCAAUCAUGGAUUACAAAAAAAAAAACAAACAUUUCGAUCAUGUAUUACAAAANN